UGGCGGACGGGUAAGUAAUGUCUGGGAAACUGCCCGAUGGAGGGGGAUAACUACUGGAAACGGUAGCUAAUACCGCAUAACGUCGCAAGACCAAAGAGGGGGACCUUCGGGCCUCUUGCCAUCGGAUGUGCCCAGAUGGGAUUAGCUAGUAGGUGGGGUAACGGCUCACCUAGGCGACGAUCCCUAGCUGGUCUGAGAGGAUGACCAGCCACACUGGAACUGAGACACGGUCCAG
rnacentral:rRNA from 1 species